UUGAUUAUGAGGAAGUCCCUUCCGGCGGUGCUUGCAACACUUGCAUAUGUCUGCACGGCCGAAAGAUCUGCACUAUGACACAUUGCACUGACAGUACUGCAGACUGGACAACCCGACUUGCUGCUGCUCACAACCGGAAUGCCGCAUGUCCCAAAGGUACCUUCAUCCACAACCCGAACCAGCCCUGCAGCAUAUGUCUUUGUGGCGGCAACGAUCCAGGGUCCCACAAUAUGUGCUUCAUAGAUGCCGAGUGUGUCAAACAAGUCAUCAGCCACUUGAACGGCUAAGCUGUGGUUUCUUUGUGAAUAUCAACGUCAAUAAAUCUUAUGAAACUGGUC